CCGGGAUAAAAGGGCCUCAGGGUCAGAGUGGCUCCAUACACUCCUCUCCUGAGGUGCUUACAGACUUACUGCACGGGUCCUGACCCUGCCCACUGAGAUGUCCUGCCAGCAGAACCAGCAGCAGUGCCAGCCCCCUCCCAAGUGCCCCCCAAAGUGUCCCCCAAAGUGCCCCCCAGUCUCUUCUUGCUGUAGUGUCAGCUCUGGGGGCUGCUGUGGCUCCAGCUCCGGGGGUGGCGGCUGCUGUGGCUCCAGCUCCGGGGGUGGCGGCUGCUGCCUGAGCCACCACAGGCGACACAGGUCCCACCGCCACAGACACCAGAGCUCAGGCUGCUGCAGCCAGCCCUCGGGGGGCUCUGGUUGUUGCAGCCAGCCCUCGGGGGGCUCGGGCUGCUGUGGAGGGGGCAGCAGUCAGUCAUCUGGAGGCUGCUGCUGAAGUCAAUCCUGACCCCCUCUUCUCCUGACCUCCCUGAAUGGUGGAGAGAUCUGAGUAAAGCCUUGAGCUCUGGCCAGAGGAUCCCUCAACAGUGGUUUCCAGAAGCCGAAAAGGUUUCUCUGAAAUUCAUAUCCUGACCUCAUUCCACCUAUCAGUGGCUGCCCUGGGAAUCCCAAAGCAUAGACCUCAUGUCCCUCUGCAACUUCUAUUAUUGCAUUCUGUUGAAUUGAAACAAUAAAACAGAAUCUGUUCAGUAA